rnacentral:rRNA from 1 species
GUGGGGAAUUUUGGACAAUGGGGGCAACCCUGAUCCAGCAAUGCCGCGUGUGUGAAGAAGGCCUUCGGGUUGUAAAGCACUUUUGUCCGGGAAGAAAUCGCACCUGAUAAUACCGGGUGUGGAUGACGGUACCGGAAGAAUAAGGACCGGCUAACUACGUGCCAGCAGCCGCGGUAAUACGUAGGGUCCAAGCGUUAAUCGGAAUUACUGGGCGUAAAGCGUGCGCAGGCGGUUGUGCAAGACCGAUGUGAAAUCCCCGGGCUUAACCUGGGAAUUGCAUUGGUGACUGCACGGCUAGAGUGUGUCAGAGGGGGGUAGAAUUCCACGUGUAGCAGUGAAAUGCGUAGAGAUGUGGAGGAAUACCGAUGGCGAAGGCAGCCCCCUGGGAUAACACUGACGCUCAUGCACGAAAGCGUGGGGAGCAAACAGGAUUAGAAACCCCGGUAGUCC